UAUUCGCGGAGCGCUCAGUUGAGUGGAUCAGAAAAGCUACUUGUGUGAAAAAUAAACGAGGUUUCAAGUAUUUACGUGAGCACUAAAAAUAAAAAGUGAACAGUGGAAGUUAUUAUAUUAGUUUUAAAUUUUGGAAAUGGAAUGAACAAAAUAAAUUUCGUUUCGCCAUCGUUUGCUUUGCUUAGGGAAUCGUGCAUCCAACACCGCUUUCAAAAGAAAGUUUGACCAUCCACGCUCUUUCUCAGUCACAUGUACAAACGCUUGAUACGGAAACCCCCAAUUAAAAGAUGUUUUAGUAUAAGUGUACACGUAUGUAUAUAAUAUAUUCUUUCCUAUACAUAUAUGUAUGUAUAUGUGCGUGCAUGUAGUCCGUAUCUUCCGUUCGCAAUCACAAUAUCCAAAAUCAAUUUUCGCAUGUUUUCUGGUGGAACAAUAGACUACUUGCUGAUAAUGAACCGCAGACAAUCAUGCACCAGUUCAUUGGAAUGAGGUUGUCUUGUUUACUCAAUAUUUAAAUUGACUCAUUUCUUUAUAAACUUAUUUUUACUACGUAGGUUGCCUUUUACAUUUCGGGAGUAGAGAACAAAAACAAAUUUUAAUCAUCGAAAUCGAUUAAGUUCUGUUUUGAUAAAAGUAUUUCCAAAACGUUAAUCCUGAAUGCUUCAUCCGCCUCUUCAGGUGUCCAAA
rnacentral:misc_RNA from 1 species